rnacentral:rRNA from 1 species
ACAUUAUAGUUGUGCAGACACUUUGUUGACUCUAGAGAACCUCGGGCCAAUCGCACGUCCCCGUAACGGCGACUUUGCAUUCGGAUGUCAUCCAUAUCAACUUUCGAUGCCAGUUUCUGUGCCUACCAUGGUGACCAUGGGUAACGGGGAAUCAGGGUUGGAUUACGGAGAGGGAAUCUGAGAAAUGGCUACCACAUGCAAGGAAGGCAGCAGGCGGGCAAAUGACCCACUCCCGACGCGGGAAGGUAGU